UUAGGCCUACGGGGCGCAGCAGUGGGGGAUAUUGCACAAUGGGGGAAACCCUGAUGCAGCGACGCCGCGUGUGGGAAGACGGUCCUCUGGAUUGUAAACCACUGUCCCCAGGGACGAAAAUGACGGUACCUGGGGAGGAAGCUCCGGCUAACUACGUGCCAGCAGCCGCGGUAAUACGUAGGGAGCGAGCGUUGUCCGGAAUUACUGGGUGUAAAGGGAGCGUAGGCGGGGAUGCAAGUUGGGUGUCAAAACUACCGGCUCAACUGCUAGUCGCCCUC
rnacentral:rRNA from 1 species